UCCAGCCAUGCCGCGUGAGUGAUGAAGGCCCUAGGGUUGUAAAGCUCUUUCAACGGUGAAGAUAAUGACGGUAACCGUAGAAGAAGCCCCGGCUAACUUCGUGCCAGCAGCCGCGGUAAUACGAAGGGGGCUAGCGUUGUUCGGAAUUACUGGGCGUAAAGCGCACGUAGGCGGAUUGUUAAGUUAGGGGUGAAAUCCCAGGGCUCAACCCUGGAACUGCCUUUAAUACUGGCAAUCUCGAGUCCGAGAGAGGUGAGUGGAAUUCCGAGUGUAGAGGUGAAAUUCGUAGAUAUUCGGAGGAACACCAGUGGCGAAGGCGGCUCACUGGCUCGGUACUGACGCUGAGGUGCGAAAGCGUGGGGAGCAAACAGGAUUAGAUCCCCU
rnacentral:rRNA from 1 species